AUGUUCGACGCCAAGCACAACCUCUCGUCAAGCAUCUCCAAACUCCCUCCGCACACCAGCUUCAACCAAUUUCCGUACAAGCUUUCCUUCGCCCUGUUCGCCUCUGUUUCGCAAGGAGCUAGCAACACCGCGAUAUCUCCUAUUCGUUCAGCUUCGCCAUGUCGUUUGAGCUCCAUUUCGGAUGAUUCUCACGGCCCGACGUCAAAAAUUUUGUCAUCUACAAAUUUGCUUCAAGACUCGAGUUCGGAUUAUGCUCUGAAAAUUACGCGCAACCAAAAAAGAGAGGAAAAUGUGAAUCCAAAAACAUGUUUUUUCUUUUCCAAAUGA